rnacentral:rRNA from 1 species
GGGAAUUUUGGACAAUGGGGGCAACCCUGAUCCAGCAAUGCCGCGUGUGUGAAGAAGGCCUUCGGGUUGUAAAGCACUUUUGUCCGGAAAGAAAUCGCGCUGGCUAAUACCUGGCGUGGAUGACGGUACCGGAAGAAUAAGCACCGGCUAACUACGUGCCAGCAGCCGCGGUAAUACGUAGGGUGCGAGCGUUAAUCGGAAUUACUGGGCGUAAAGCGUGCGCAGGCGGUUUUGUAAGACAGGCGUGAAAUCCCCGGGCUCAACCUGGGAAUGGCGCUUGUGACUGCAAGGCUAGAGUGCGUCAGAGGGGGGUAGAAUUCCACGUGUAGCAGUGAAAUGCGUAGAGAUGUGGAGGAAUACCGAUGGCGAAGGCAGCCCCCUGGGACGAGACUGACGCUCAUGCACGAAAGCGUGGGGAGCAAACAGG